rnacentral:lncRNA from 1 species
UGAUCUUUCCUUCCAUCUUAGCUCAGAACUUUGUCUCUGUAACUCUUUCUUUUCUUUUUUUUUUUUUUUUAAACCUUUAACUUAUUUCUUUUUUUUUUUUAAAUUAGGUAUUUUCCUCGAUUACAUUUCCAAUGCUAUCCCAAAAGUCCCCCAUACCCCCCCCCAUCCCCUACCCAUCCACUCCCCCUUUUUGGCCCUGGUGUUUCCCUGUACUGGGGCAUAUAAAGUUUGCAAGUCCAAAGGGCCUCUCUUUCCAGCGAUGGCUGACUAGGCCAUCUUUUGAUACAUAUGUAGCUAGAGACAAGAGCUCUGGGGUACUGGUUAGUUCAUAUUGUUGUUCCACAUAUAGGGUUGCAGUUCCCUUUAGCUCCUUGGGUACUUUCUUGGGGGCCGUGUGAUCUGUAACUCUUUCCAUGGGUAUUUUGUCCCCCAUUGUAGAGUUAUUUUUAAAAUUAUCUUUGUGAUGUAUAGUGUGAUGACAUACUAUUAAUUUUUACUUUUGCUGAUGUAUAGAGUCCUAAAUUCUUGUAAUGAAUAUGUAUUAAUUUAUUAAAGGUGCAAAUUUCUUUUUCUCUCCAAUAAAAUCACAGAUAAAAACCCAAAGUAAGGCUAGGUAUAGUGUGGUGCAUGCCUCUAAUCCCAGCCCUUAGGAGGCAGAGGCUAUUAGAUUUCUCAGUUUCAUAGGAGGCAGAGCAACAUAAAUGAGACCCUAUCUCAAAAAACAAGAGUAAGAUUCUUUGGCCACUUGGUAGCCUGGUUCUCCUGAGAUUACUGGUACACCCUCAUAUUGGAACAGGGUCUCAAGUAGCCCAAACUGACUUCUAACUACUUAACUGAGACUGGCUUUGAAUAUAUAAUCCUGUUGCCUCUACUCCAAAGUGUUGCAACCACAAACUUAUUACCACCAUGCUCAGAAUAUUUUGUAUUUUAAAGGUAAGCAUUGGUUAUUAAAACAAAACACUAGUAAGCUAGGUAUGGUGUGUAUGCAUGUAAUCCCAGAAUUUAGAAGACUGAGAUUAGGUUUGCCAUGAAUUUGAGGCCAGCAAGGGCUACAAAGUAAGACCCUAUUUAAAAACAAACAAACAAACAAAAAAAAAACAAAAUCCAAACAAAGUAAAACCCUGCAGGAGAUCUUAGAAUUUAUUUUUCUACAUUGUAUCAACACAGUAAGGUUUUUUGUUAUGUGUGUAGUAAGUACAGCCUGUUCAUGCCAUACGUGUAUAGAGGGUCACCUAAAACUUCUGGGAGUAGUUUUCUCCUCCUCAGCAAGCUCCUGCGAUCAAACUGAGGUCAUCAAUUUGUGUGGUGCUAGCCCUUUUAUCUGCUGAGCCAUCUCAACAGCCUGAGACUUAAGAUUUUUUUAUACAUACAUACUUUUAAAAUUAAAAGGUUGUUUCAAUAUGUAACCCAACAGAAAGAUUUUAACUAAAAACAUUUGCUUAUCUCAAUUCCAAUAACUGCACUGAAAUAAAUUCCUUCCUCCCUCAAAUUUGUAUUUAGACCAGGUAUCACUUACUUCAAGUUAAUUAUAAAAGCUAUCUCCAGAAUAUAUGUACAGGUACACACACACACCACUUACUUCAAAGUAAUUUUGAAUUAUCCCCAAAACAUACAUGUACACACCAUUAACAUCUGUCUGUCUAUCUAUCCAUUCAUCCAUCCAUCCAUCCCCCCACCCAUCCAUCCACACACGUAAAAAUAGUGCUUGGUCUUGUAUUCAGAUCUCACCUACCACCACCAUCUAGUUUUUUUUUUUUUUUUUUGAGAUAAGCUCUUUUUUGUUUGUUUGUUUGUUUUUUGUUUUUCGAGACAGGGUUUAUUUGUAUAGCCCUGGCUAUCCUGGAACUCACUUUGUAGACCAGGCUAGCCUCGAACUCAGAAAUCCACCUGCCUCUGUCUCCCUAGUGCUGGGAUUAAAGGUGUGUCCCAGCACGCCUGGCUUGUGGCUGUUUCUUUAAUGAUCGUCUUAUAACAAAUUGUUUUAAGGAUUUUAUAAAUAUCUACUUAGGAGGAUCUUCUCAAUUCUGUGAUCUGUGUAAAAGAAUUAUUUUAUGGUCUGGUUUGUUGCAGUUAAAAAAACCCUGAAAAUAUGGUAGUGACUGUAAUGUAGACUUCAGUGAUUUCUUCAGCAUAAGUGUGCCAUCGGGUACCAUUCUUCACCUAGUAAUGUAGAAGCAUAGUUAUGGCUUCUUUCUGCUGCAGACGGGGAAACUUUUAGCACCAGAAUGCACAUCAGUUGUUUUUGCAACAUGGCCUUGGUGGUAGCUCAGCUGUUGGCCUUCCUUGUCUCUUUUUGAGAAACACUUUGUAUUUCAUUAACUAUACUAAAAGAUCGGAUACAUGCAGGGAAGUGGGGUAUCUGGGGGCCUGCCAGGCUGUGCCGUUAAAAAUUACGCCAUGUAACAGGUUUAUUGGGAGAGUAGGGAGACUGAAAUGCCUCCCUAGACUGGGACAUUAGAGAGAGAUAGACAGACAGACAGACACACACACACACACACACACACACACAAAGAUAGAUAAUGAAGGAGAGAGAGGAGUAAUUGAAGAGAGAAACAAGAGAGUGAUCUGGGGUGGGGUGGAGUUAGGAGGGGGUUACACACUGUGUGCACCUGCCACACCUGUCCCCCUGUUGGCUGGGGUGGAAGGUGACAUAAGCCACCUUUAUAUUCCUGAGGGCUAACACUAAAUGCUCAUAAAAGUUACAUCUUGGGUAUUGCUCCCCCCCCCCCCC